rnacentral:rRNA from 1 species
GACGAACGCUGGCGGCGUGCCUAACACAUGCAAGUCGAGCGGAGACAUGCGAGCGGAAGGAUUCGUCUGGAAGCAUGUAUGUUUUAGCGGCGGACGGGUGAGUAACGCGUGAGCAACCUGCCCUUCACAGGGGGAUAAGACCGCGAAAGUGGUUCUAAUACCGCAUGAGACCACGGUGCCGAGUGGCACAGGGGUCAAAGGAGCAAUCCGGUGAAGGAUGGGCUCGCGUCCGAUUAGAUAGUUGGUGAGGUAACGGCCCACCAAGUCAACGAUCGGUAGCCGACCUGAGAGGGUGAUCGGCCACAUUGGGACUGAGACACGGCCCAGACUCCUACGGGAGGCAGCAGUGGGGAAUAUUGGGCAAUGGGCGAAAGCCUGACCCAGCAACGCCGCGUGAAGGAAGAAGGUCUUCGGAUCGUAAACUUCUGUCCUCAGAGACGAGAAGAAGACGGUAACUGAGGAGGAAGCCCCGGCUAACUACGUGCCAGCAGCCGCGGUAAUACGUAGGGGGCGAGCGUUGUCCGGAAUGAUUGGGCGUAAAGGGCGCGUAGGCGGCCCGAUAAGUCUGAAGUGAAAGUCCUGUUUUCAAGAUGGGAAUUGCUUUGGAUACUGACGGGCUUGAGUGCAGGAGAGGUUACUGGAAUUCCCAGUGUAGCGGUGAAAUGCGUAGAGAUUGGGAAGAACACCAGUGGCGAAGGCGAGUAACUGGACUGUAACUGACGCUGAGGCGCGAAAGUGUGGGGAGCAAACAGGAUUAGAUACCCUGGUAGUCCACACUGUAAACGAUGAAUGCUAGGUGUAGGAGGUAUCGACCCCUUCUGUGCCGCAGUUAACACAAUAA